AAGUGCGCUGCGAAGAACGAAAAUAAGAAGAAGAAAAGUAAAUGCCCGGAUUAGCGAUAUUGUAGUUCUCAUGUAUAUAUAUAGGAAUUAAAUUUGGUUGUAAUAAGGUUCAAAUAUUUUGACUCUUUUUCUUCACUAUAAACAAUAUUAGUUCGAGACUUGAAUAAGCGACACAUGUGGUUUCAUUUCUUAAUUUUUUUGACAAAUGAGUUUUUGUCGUAUUUUAUAUAGUCUUGCAACUUAGAUUUGUACAUACAUACAUAAGUAUGUAUGUGAAUGUUUUUUUACUAUAUUUAUACUCUCACCUAAAACCAAUCGAAAUAUGUUGAUAUGUAAGCAAAUGAUCGAGAUGAUGGGAUGAGUUGAACUCCGUUUGUCCGUCUGUUCGUACUUCCAUGCAAACGAUAACUUGUGUAAAACUUGCGAUAUCACAAUUAAACAUGGGAAACUUGCGUCCAAAUUAAGAGACCAUAGCCGCAGUGAGGAACAUCUAUGGACUAAAAUUUUUCAAAAACUGGACGCCCCUAAUAUGUUUAAGGCACAUAUCUCAGAAACCUUACAAAGUAUAUCGACCACACUUGUUGAGAAGGAAGUUUUUUGACAAAUUGGAUGAAACCUCAUUAAAUGGUGAUCCCUUUCGAGGCUCCCUACUAGAAAAAACACAGAAACUUUACAUUUCUUCUUCUUCUUAAUUGGCAUAGAUACCGCUUACGCGAUUAUAGCCGAGUUAACAACAGCGGGCCAUGGUUUCUUAUUUUCGCAACAUGGCGCCAAUUGGAGAUUUCAAGCGAAGCCAGGCCCUUCUCCACCUCGUAUUUUCAACGGAGUGGAGGUCUUUCUCUUCCGGGUACUGCUGCGAAUACUUUCAGAGCUGUAGUGUUUUCGUCCAUUUGGACGACUUAAAUUGACUAUGUCAAUGUCGCCGUAUAUCUCAUACAGCUCAUCGUUCCAUCGUAUGCGAUAUUUCUCUCCAAAACUCGUAACGUCGACUUGUCAGAUAUUGUCAUCGUCCACGCUUCUGCACCAUAUAGCAGGACGGUGAGUGACUUAUAGGGUUUGUUUUUAGUUCGAGAGGACUUUACUUCUCAAUUAUCUACUCAGUCCAAAGUAGCACCUAUUGGCAAGCGUUAUUCUGGGUCGGAUUUCGAGACUGACAUUGUUGUUGCUGUUAAUUGCUGGUUCUAAGGUUGACGAAAUUAUCUACAACUUCAAAGUUAUGACUGUCAGCAAUGACGUGAGAGCCAAGUCGCGAGUGCGACGACUGUUUGUUUGAUGACAGGAGAUAUUUCGUCUUGACUCGUUCACUGCCAAAACCCAUUUGUUUUGCUUCCUUAUCAACGAUGGAUAAUAUGUAGAAGUUCACGCAAGUGAGGAAAGUUCUCUAAUUGCCAUUAAAAAUAACAUGUCAGCUUGACACGAAUCAGACUUGAUCUGUCAAAACAAGCUAUUCAAAAAGUGGCUUUACUUGGUUCACCCAUUACCACUCACUCCGAAAAUUCGUGUGUCACAUUUUCACAAAAUUAAGUAGAUUUGUUGAAAAAUAAUGUGGCUCAGUAUUAAAUAUGAAUCGAAUCGGUCUAGAUCUUGAACUAGACCUCAUACCUUUCUUACAACGACUUCCGAUUUCCUCGGCUCAGAGCUUUGAAAAUUGUGAGAUAUUAUGAAAUAUUCGGCUACACCCGAACCAAGUUAUUCUUUAUUUGGUUUUUUUUAGUUUUUUUUUUUUGUGUUAAAUUCGCGCAAUUUCCCACAAAUUUGUACAGGAAUUGAAUUGUGUUUUGAGUAGUAAGAAAUAAUUUCACAGAUCUUCCUACUAUUAUUCAUUAAAAAACGAGAUAUAAACUUCACGAGACCAAAAAGUACAUGUAUAACAUUUGAUGUUCAGCACUAAUAUUACGGUAUCAAAUUUUAAUAUUACUAUUUUUUUAAAUUAUAAAAAACAAA